rnacentral:rRNA from 1 species
CUACGGGGGGCUGCAGUGGGGAAUUUUGGACAAUGGGCGCAAGCCUGAUCCAGCCAUGCCGCGUGAGUGAAGAAGGCCUUCGGGUUGUAAAGCUUUUUCAGGUGGGAAGAAACGGUUAAUGUUAAUAGCAUUGACUACUGACGGUACCACCAGAAGAAGCACCGGCUAACUACGUGCCAGCAGCCGCGGUAAUACGUAGGGUGCGAGCGUUAAUCGGAAUUACUGGGCGUAAAGGGUGCGCAGGCGGUUUUGUAAGCCAGAUGUGAAAUCCCCGGGCUCAACCUGGGAACUGCAUUUGGGACUGCAAGGCUGGAGGACGGCAGAGGGGGGUAGAAUUCCACGUGUAGCAGUGAAAUGCGUAGAUAUGUGGAGGAAUACCGAUGGCGAAGGCAGCCCCCUGGGUCGAUACUGACGCUCAGGCACGAAAGCGUGGGGAGCAAACAGGAUUAGAUACCCUGGUAGUC